GGAAGACUUCUACUUCUACUUUAUUACUUUUCAACACUUUCGUAUCAAGAAAAGAUGACAAAAUAUAUAUAAAUCUAAAUAUAUAAAUCUAAAUAUAAAUUAAUAAUAAAUAGGUAAUCCAUAAAUUCAGUCGGCUUACUAUAUACAAUAAAAAUUAAAAUAAAUUAUAAAAUAAGAUAAUACUUAAACAAUAAAAAUAGCAUGAUAAUAAAAAUUAGGCGAUGAACUUGUUUACGUUAUUACAAAAAGAUGAAUAACUAUUUUCUUCUCUAAGUUCAAUUGAUAAAUUGUUCCAAUCUUUGAUUGUUCUGGGAAAGAAACUAUAUAAAUAAUAAUCGUGACGUGCCUUAGGCUGUAUAAAUGUAUUACUUGAAUAACUUCGAGUAUGACGCAUUGAACGUUGAUAAUAAUUAGGUAUCGGCAAUGCAAUGCCAUUAUUUACUGAUAAAUAAAACAUUUUUACACGGUGAGCCUUUCUCCUCUCACUCAGCAGAUCCAAAGAAAGGGAUUGUCUCAUUAUUGUAACACUAGAGUUCCAGUCGUAAUCCCGCUUUAUGAAUCUCACCGCACGUCGCUGGACUGCUUCAAUCUUGUCCACUUGAUCCUGUCUAUAAGGGUCCCAUACAGCAGCUGCAUAUUCUAGAUGUGACCUUACAAGUGUAACAUAGGCUACACGCUUGGUGACCUCAGAACAUGAAUACAAGUUCCUUUUUAUGAAUCCAAGUGUUGAGUUAGCCUUGUUUACGAUCUUGUUUACUUGAAAAUUCCACCGUAAAUCAUCAGACAGCAAAACGCCCAGGGUUAAAAACCAUUUGCCAUCUUUCGGCCCAUAGCCCCACUCUGUCCAAGUCCCUCUGCAAGACUAGGGUAUCAUCGUCAUGUGUAAUUUGGUGGUACAGCAGGGCAUCAUCAGCAAAUAGCCUUAAAGUGCAUUCCAAGUUCUCCUGCAUGUCAUUAAUAAACAGGAGGAACAUCAAUGGACCAAGUACAGUGCCUUGCGGCACUCCUGAUGUUACGUCUACUGGUUUUGAUGAAACACCGUCCACUACGACUCUUUGUGUUCUAUUGGUGAGCCAUGACUUUAUCCAUGCUAGUGUUCUACCUUGAAUACCAUAAUACAGUAAUUUACUGAUCAAGCGACCAUGUGCGACCUUGUCAAAGGCCUUACUGAAGUCAAGUAUCAGCAUGUCUAUUUGACCACCGUUAUCCGUAUUUCGUGCCAGGUCUUCAACUGUUAAUAGAAGCUGGGUUUCGCAUGAAUGGUUUUUGCGAAACCCGUGUUGAUUUGCAAAUAGGAUAUUAUUAUUCUCAAGAUGCUCCAUUAUGUUCUUGUAGAUGACAUGUUCCAUAAGUUUGCAUAAUACUGUAGUUAAAGACACCGGUCUAUAAUUACAUGGGUCGUGCUUCA